rnacentral:rRNA from 1 species
ACGCAAUAGAUACCCAGGUAGUCCACGCCCUAAACGAUGUCUACUAGUUGUCGGGUCUUAAUUGACUUGGUAAACGCAGCUAAACGCGUGAAGUAGACCGCCUGGGGAGUACGGUCGCAAGAUUAAAACUCAAAGGAAUUGACGGGGACCCGGCACAAGCGGUGGAUGAUGUGGAUUAAAAUUCGAUGCAACGCGAAAAACCUUACCUACCCUUGACAUGGAUGGAAUCCUUGAGAGAUUGAGGAGUGCCCGUAAGGGAACCAUUACACAGGUGCUGCAUGGCUGUCGUCAGCUCGUGUCGUGAGAUGUUGGGGUUUAAGUCCCGCAACGAGCGCAACCCUUGUCAUUAGUUGCUACGAAAGGGCACUCUAACUGAGACUGCCGGUGACAAACCGGGAGGAAGGUGGGGGAUGACGUCAAGUCCUCAUGGCCC